rnacentral:rRNA from 1 species
UCGGGAAUUUUGGGCAAUGGGCGAAAGCCUGACCCAGCAACGCCGCGUGAAGGAUGAAGUAUUUCGGUAUGUAAACUUCGAAAGAAUGGGAAGAAUCAAUGACGGUACCAUUUAUAAGGUCCGGCUAACUACGUGCCAGCAGCCGCGGUAAUACGUAGGGACCAAGCGUUGUUCGGAUUUACUGGGCGUAAAGGGCGCGUAGGCGGCUUUGUAAGUCACUUGUGAAAUCUCCGGGCUUAACUCGGAACGGCCAAGUGAUACUGCAAAGCUAGAGUGCAGAAGGGGCAAUCGGAAUUCUUGGUGUAGCGGUGAAAUGCGUAGAUAUCAAGAGGAACACCUGAGGUGAAGACGGGUUGCUGGGCUGACACUGACGCUGAGGCGCGAAAGCCAGGGGAGCAAACGGGAUUAGAUACCCCGGUAGUCCUGGCCCUAAACGAUGAAUACUUGGUGUCUGGAGUUAUUAGUGCUCCGGGUGCCGUCGCUAACGUUUUUAGUAUUCCG